CUCUCUCUCUCUCUCUCUCUCUCUCUCUCUCUCUUGCAACCAUGAGCAGGGCAGACGACAGCGUUGAGCGACGGCGAGCAGCGGCAGGCGACAGCGUCGAGUGACGACAGCGAUGGCGUGAGACGGUAUCGAGCAGCGGCAUACAACGACGUCAAGCAACAACGAGCAGUGGCAGACGACGGCGCCGAGCAAUGGCGAGCAGCGUGAGACAGCGAGUAGCGGCAAACGACAGCAACGUGAACCAGGUACAGGUGAUAUGCUUCCACCAAGGCAAUAGCGUGGAUGGACAUAUGGGAAUCAAGAGCUUCUGUUGUUAUGUUUGUUAUAUGUUUAGCCAAUGGCUUAUUUGUAAUGAGUUGUGCUCUCUUUUGUGUAACCAAGCAAUAGCUUGAGAAUAUGUAAGCCUACAAGGCAUUUGACUGUACAUUAAACUUUUAUAAAUAAAUUCCGAUGUAUGAAAGUAUGUUAUUUCUCAUA